rnacentral:rRNA from 1 species
UAAUACAGGGGUGGCAAGCGUUGUCCGGAAUUACUGGGUGUAAAGGGUGCGUAGGCGGGUGAAUAAGUCAGUGGUAAAAUCCUACAGCUUAACUGUAGACCCACCAUUGAUACUGUUCAUCUUGAGUGCAAGAAAGAAGAUUGGAAUUCCCAGUGUAGCGGUGAAAUGCGUAGAGAUUGGGAAGAACACCAGUAGCGAAGGCGGAUCUUUGGCUUGUAACUGACGCUGAUGCACGAAAGCGCGGGGAGCAAACAGGAUUAGAUACCCUGGUAGUCCGCGCCCUAAACGAUGAGGACUAGGUGUCGGACCGCAAGGUUCGGUGCCGCAGCUAACGCAUUAAGUCCUCCACCUGGGGAAUACGGCCGCAAGGUUGAAACUCAAAUGAAUUGACGG